GACGAACGCUGGCGGCGUGCUUAACACAUGCAAGUCGAACGGAAAGGCCCUGCUUUUGUGGGGUGCUCGAGUGGCGAACGGGUGAGUAACACGUGAGUAACCUGCCCUUGACUUUGGGUUAACUUCAGGAAACUGGGGCUAAUACCGGAUAGGAGCUCCUGCUGCAUGGUGGGGGUUGGAAAGUUUCGGCGGUUGGGGAUGGACUCGCGGCUUAUCAGCUUGUUGGUGGGGUAGUGGCUUACCAAGGCUUUGACGGGUAGCCGGCCUGAGAGGGUGACCGGCCACAUUGGGACUGAGAUACGGCCCAGACUCCUAUGGGAGGCAGCAGUGGGGAAUAUUGCACAAUGGGCGGAAGCCUGAUGCAGCAACGCCGCGUGCGGGAUGACGGCCUUCGGGUUGUAAACCGCUUUCGCCUGUGACGAAGCGUGAGUGACGGUAAUGGGUAAAGAAGCACCGGCUAACUACGUG
rnacentral:rRNA from 1 species